rnacentral:rRNA from 1 species
AGACAAGGAAAUUUAUAAAUGAAUCGGUAAAAAGGACAGUUAUAGAAUUAACCAUAAGUUAAAUCGUUUCAUGAAGAGGUAGAAUUCACACAUGAUCCAUUUCCUAACUAACUUAACUCUCUAGAAGCUGUGAAAUUACUAAUCAAAACCAGGAUUAGAUACCCUGCUAUUAGUAACAUAAAUUUUUUUCCUCCUCAUUAACCACCAGGGAAUUACAGAGUUAUCUCUGAAACCCAAAGAGCUUGGCGGUACCUCAAACCCCAUUAGGGGAACCUGUUCCAUAAUCGAUAAUCCGCGCAGGACCUUACUUUCUUUUACUUAGUUUGUAUACCGUCGUCGUCAGACAACUUUUAAGAAAAUAGUAGUUCUCUACAAUAAACUGUUUAUAGACGUCAGAUCAAGGUGCAGCCAAUAAGAAAGAGAGAAAUGGGUUACAAUUUUUAAAUUGAAAUACGGACUUUUAGUUGAAACACUUUAACAAAGGAGGACUUAAAAGUAAUUCUAGUAAGAAUAAAUGAAUGAAUAAGGCUCUGAGGUGUGCACACAUCGCCCGUCGCUCUCGCUGAAAAGU